UUUGAAUGCUUAUUUUGAGAACAUUUUAGAGAGCAAAGUAACCUUUGCUGCCUUUCUUUUCUCUUCCUCCUUUUUCCUUCCCCCUGAAAAGAUCAGAUAGGACAGACCCAUUCUUCCUGGGGAACCCAGGCUGGUUGCUAAUAAUCACUGCCCUGCCCCCUUCUUCCAUAUGUUUUUCCCUGAAGAAGCUGCCUUGUGAGAUGUUUGUAAAUAGGAACAAUUGUACCUGUUC
rnacentral:lncRNA from 1 species